GGAACGAGUUAUCUGAACCUUCGGGGAACGAUAACGGCGUCGAGCGGCGGACGGGUGAGUAAUGCCUAGGAAAUUGCCCUGAUGUGGGGGAUAACCAUUGGAAACGAUGGCUAAUACCGCAUGAUGCCUACGGGCCAAAGAGGGGGACCUUCGGGCCUCUCGCGUCAGGAUAUGCCUAGGUGGGAUUAGCUAGUUGGUGAGGUAAGGGCUCACCAAGGCGACGAUCCCUAGCUGGUCUGAGAGGAUGAUCAGCCACACUGGAACUGAGACACGGUCCAGACUCCUACGGGAGGCAGCAGUGGGGAAUAUUGCACAAUGGGCGCAAGCCUGAUGCAGCCAUGCCGCGUGUGUGAAGAAGGCCUUCGGGUUGUAAAGCACUUUCAGUCGUGAGGAAGGUGGUGUAGUUAAUAGCUGUAUUAUUUGACGUUAGCGACAGAAGAAGCACCGGCUAACUCCGUGCCAGCAGCCGCGGUAAUACGGAGGGUGCGAGCGUUAAUCGGAAUUACUGGGCGUAAAGCGCAUGCAGGUGGUUUGUUAAGUCAGAUGUGAAAGCCCGGGGCUCAACCUCGGAAUAGCAUUUGAAACUGGCAGACUAGAGUACUGUAGAGGGGGGUAGAAUUUCAGGUGUAGCGGUGAAAUGCGUAGAGAUCUGAAGGAAUACCGGUGGCGAAGGCGGCCCCCUGGACAGAUACUGACACUCAGAUGCGAAAGCGUGGGGAGCAAACAGGAUUAGAUACCCUGGUAGUCCACGCCGUAAACGAUGUCUACUUGGAGGUUGUGGCCUUGAGCCGUGGCUUUCGGAGCUAACGCGUUAAGUAGACCGCCUGGGGAGUACGGUCGCAAGAUUAAAACUCAAAUGAAUUGACGGGGGCCCGCACAAGCGGUGGAGCAUGUGGUUUAAUUCGAUGCAACGCGAAGAACCUUACCUACUCUUGACAUCCAGAGAACUUUCCAGAGAUGGAUUGGUGCCUUCGGGAACUCUGAGACAGGUGCUGCAUGGCUGUCGUCAGCUCGUGUUGUGAAAUGUUGGGUUAAGUCCCGCAACGAGCGCAACCCUUAUCCUUGUUUGC
rnacentral:rRNA from 1 species